rnacentral:rRNA from 1 species
GCCCUUUCGGGGGUACACGAGCGGCGAACGGGUGAGUAACACGUGAGCAAUCUGCCCUUCACUUCGGGAUAACCACCGGAAACGGUGGCUAAUACCGGAUAUGACUGCCUUGGGCAUCCGGGGUGGUGGAAAGUUUUUUCGGUGGAGGAUGAGCUCGCGGCCUAUCAGCUUGUUGGUGGGGUGAUGGCCUACCAAGGCGACGACGGGUAGCCGGCCUGAGAGGGUGACCGGCCACACUGGGACUGAGACACGGCCCAGACUCCUACGGGAGGCAGCAGUGGGGAAUCUUGCACAAUGGGCGAAAGCCUGAUGCAGCAACGCCGCGUGCGGGAAGAAGGCCCUAGGGUUGUAAACCGCUUUCAGUAGGGAAGAAAAUGACGGUACCUACAGAAGAAGGUGCGGCCAACUACGUGCCAGCAGCCGCGGUGACACGUAGGCACCAAGCGUUAUCCGGAUUUAUUGGGCGUAAAGAGCUCGUAGGCGGUUCGGUAAGUCGGGUGUGAAAACUCUGGGCUCAACCCAGAGAGGCCACCCGAUACUGCUGUGACUAGAGUGCGGUAGGGGAGCGGGGAAUUCCUGGUGUAGCGGUGAAAUGCG